UUUACCUUCUUGUAUAAGCACUGUGCUAAAAUUACAGGAACUAGGAUUAUAUCUUGGUUUUUGUAAUAAUGCUAGCAGAGUACACACAAGAAGAAGAGUAACUGCA
rnacentral:miRNA from 14 species